UUUGUUCAGAGUUUUCUGUGUACCUGUGUCUGCAGGGAUCAGGAUGUGGCUUUCCUCUGGGUAUGGAAUAGAUGCAUAUUCUGAUUGCCUCUUCUGGAAAGACUUAUCAGAAACUCAAAAGAACACAACCAUCUGUCUCUCACCUACAUGUGACCUGGAAGACCCCAGUUGGCGGCAGUGGGUUGAGCAUUUUAUUGCCCUGGAAAAGAUUGUGGUUUUGUUGCAAGGAAGAAGAGAAGAAUGACAUUUUUGUGGAAGAAUUGGGUUCUGUCUCCCAAUUAGGAUAGACUUGACUGCAACUGAAAUAGCCUUGAAGUCUUCCUUGCCUGCUUAACUCUCUCCUGCAAUUUCUCUUUGACAAAUGAAACUGUAUGUGAUGGCAGUGAUAUUACAAAGCUAUAAAAUUCUAUGAUUCUUUAUUCAUAAAAUUGCAUGAGAAGAUUGGGUAUCCAAUUGGAGAAAAUAUUUCUGUUUCACACUAAUUGCAAAAAUAAAAUCCGAGUAAGUUAAAAAUAUAAAUGCU
rnacentral:lncRNA from 10 species